AGUGAACGCUGGCGGUAGGCCUAACACAUGCAAGCCGAACGGCAGCACAGGAGAGCUUGCUCUCUGGGUGGCGAGUGGCGGACGGGUGAGGAAUACAUCGGAAUCUACUCUGUCGUGGGGGAUAACGUAGGGAAACUUACGCUAAUACCGCAUACGACCUACGGGUGAAAGCAGGGGAUCUUCGGACCUUGCGCGAUUGAAUGAGCCGAUGUCGGAUUAGCUAGUUGGCGGGGUAAAGGCCCACCAAGGCGACGAUCCGUAGCUGGUCUGAGAGGAUGAUCAGCCACACUGGAACUGAGACACGGUCCAGACUCCUACGGGAGGCAGCAGUGGGGAAUAUUGGACAAUGGGCGCAAGCCUGAUCCAGCCAUACCGCGUGGGCGAAGAAGGCCUUCGGGUUGUAAAGCCCUUUUGUUGGGAAAGAAAUCCAGCUGGCUAAUACCCGGUUGGGAUGACGGUACCCAAAGAAUAAGCACCGGCUAACUUCGUGCCAGCAGCCGCGGUAA
rnacentral:rRNA from 1 species